AUUGAACGCUGGCGGCAGGCCUAACACAUGCAAGUCGAGCGGGGUUUUCGGACCUAGCGGCGGACGGGUGAGUAAUGCGUAGGAAGCUGCCCGAUAGAGGGGGAUACCAGUUGGAAACGACUGUUAAUACCGCAUAAUGUCUACGGACCAAAGUGUGGGACCUUCGGGCCACAUGCUAUCGGAUGCGCCUACGUGGGGUUAGCUAGUUGGUGAGGUAAUGGCAAACCAAGGCGACGAUCUCUAGCUGGUUUGAGAGGAUGAUCAGCCACACUGGAACUGAGACACGGUCCAGACUCCUACGGGAGGCAGCAGUGGGGAAUAUUGGACAAUGGGCGCAAGCCUGAUCCAGCCAUGCCGCGUGUGUGGAGAAGGCCUUCGGGUUGUAAAGCACUUUCAGCGAGGAGGAAGGGGUGUGUGUUAAUAGUACACACCUUUGACGUUACUCGCAGAAGAAGCACCGGCUAACUCUGUGCCAGCCGCCGCAGUAAGAC
rnacentral:rRNA from 1 species